UACAGAGGUCUCAAGCGUUGUUCGGAUUCAUUGGGCGUAAAGGGUGCGUAGGCGGCGUGGAAAGUCAGAUGUGAAAUCCGGAGGCUCAACCUCCGAAUUGCAUCCGAUACUACCGUGCUCGAGAGCUGUAGAGGGAUCUGGAAUUCUCGGUGUAGCAGUGAAAUGCGUAGAUAUCGAGAAGAACGCUCGUGGCGAAAGCGAGAUCCUGGGCAGCCUCUGGCGCUGAGGCACGAAGGCCAGGGGAGCAAACGGG
rnacentral:rRNA from 1 species